GAACUCGAACCCAUUGACUGGGAGUACUAUAGAAAAGGAAUUGGCUCUCGCCUGAUAGAUAUGUACAAAGAGGCAUAUGAGAGUGUAGAGAUCCCCAAGUUUGUUGACACCGUCACUCCUCAAUACAAACCAAAAUUUGAUGCAUUGCUUGUAGAAUUGAAAGAGGCAGAGGAGAAAUCCUUGAAAGAGUCUGAGCGAUUGGAGAAAGAAAUUGUCGAGGUUCAAGAACUUAAGGU